AUUUAUAGUAUUUUAUACUGGACUCUUUACAUUGUAAUAUUCAUUGUGUGAUCAUAAAGCUUAAACCAACUCCUGAAAUAAAUAGUUUAAGUCAAUACCUCUGAGUCAAUACACGCUUUUGUGUUAUUAAUUUUAAAAUCAUUAUUAAUUUAUCAAAAAGGUAAUUUGAGAUGGAGCAGUAAUAUUGGGGAUCUGUCAAUACCGUUUUUUGGUACUCCAUUUUGCAUCAAUGGAAUAAGGCUACUGGAGUGUAGUUAUGGACCGGGCAGGCAGUGUAAUGCAAAUUCUGAGGAGGUAUUUUUAUAUAUUGAGAUAUAUUGGCAACCCACCUGUC